rnacentral:rRNA from 1 species
UCAGAUGAACGCUGGCGGCAUGCCUUACACAUGCAAGUCGAACGGCAGCACGGGUGUUUGCCUUGUGGGRGGUGGGGACGGUUAAAUAUACAUCGGAACAUGUUCUGUAGUGGGGGAUAGCCCGGCGAAAGCCGGAUUAAUACCGCAUACGAUCUCUGGAUGAAAGCGGGGGACCUUCGGGCCUCGCGCUAUAGGGUUGGCCGAUGGCUGAUUAGCUAGUUGGUGGGGUAAAGGCCUACCAAGGCGACGAUCAGUAGCUGGUCUGAGAGGACGACCA